GACGAACGCUGGCGGCGUGCCUAAUACAUGCAAGUAGAACGCUGAAGGAGGAGCUUGCUUCUCUGGAUGAGUUGCGAACGGGUGAGUAACGCGUAGGUAACCUGCCUGGUAGCGGGGGAUAACUAUUGGAAACGAUAGCUAAUACCGCAUAACAGUAGAUAUCGCAUGAUAUCUACUUGAAAGUUGCAAUUGCAUCACUACCAGAUGGACCUGCGUUGUAUUAGCUAGUUGGUGAGGUAAAGGCUCACCAAGGCGACGAUACAUAGCCUACCUGAGAGGGUGAACGGGCACAAUGGGAAUGAGACCCGGCCCAAACUCCCAAGGGAAGGAGCAGUAGGGAAUCAUCGGAAAAGGACGGAAGGCCGACCGAACAAAGACGCGUGAGUGAAGAAGGGUCUCGGAUCGUAAAGGUCCGUUGUAAGGGAAGAAAGAGCGUGAGAGUAGAACCUUCACAUUGUGACGGUACCUAAACAGAAAGCAACGGCUAACUACGUG
rnacentral:rRNA from 1 species